UACUAGAGUAGCACUCGCAUAUCAAUAAGCGGAGGAAAAGAAACUAACAAGGAUUCCCCUAGUAACGGCGAGUGAAGCGGGAAGAGCUCAAAUUUGAAAUCUUAAAGGGUUUCCCUUUACGAAUUGUAGUUUAAAGAAGUGUUUUCUGUUGAGGUUUUGGUAAAAGUUCUUUGGAAUAGGACAUCAUAGAGGGUGAGAAUCCCGUAUUUGACCUUUACUUUCAACUUUGUGAUACACUUUCAAAGAGUCGGAUUGUUUGGGAAUGCAGUCCAAAAUGGGUGGUAAAUUUCAUCUAAAGCUAAAUAUUGGCGAGAGACCGAUAGCGAACAAGUACCGUGAGGGAAAGAUGAAAAGAACUUUGAAAAGAGAGUUAAACAGUACGCGAAAUUGUCAAAAGGGAAGCGUUUGACACCAGUGUUGUUUUUCUGAAAAUCAAUUAAAGAACUGUUUAUGCUAAGUUGUUUAGACUUUAUCAGCUAACUGUUUAGUUUUGAGCUUUUCUUUAAUGCACUUUUCAGUUAACAAGUCAACAUCAAUUUCUUUUGCUGUAAAAAAGCUUGAGGAAGGUGGCUUGAGAUUCGUCUUAAGUGUUUAUAGCCUCUUGCCUAUGCAGUCGGAGAGAUUGAGGUCUGCAGCGUAGAUCCUUCGGGGCUAAAUGCAUUUGUGCUAAGUUAUAGCAUUUUAUAGACAACUUGUUGACUAUGAUUUGUCUUGUAGCUUACUCGCUUAUGUUAUUUUACCUACGCUUAGGAUGUUGAGCGCAUGUCUCUCUCU
rnacentral:rRNA from 1 species